rnacentral:rRNA from 1 species
AUUGAACGCUGGCGGCAUGCCUUACACAUGCACGUUGAACGGUAACAGGUCUUCGGAUGCUGACGAGUGGCGAACGGGUGAGUAAUACAUCGGAACGUGCCUAGUAGUGGGGGAUAACUACUCGAAAGAGUGGCUAAUACCGCAUGAGAUCUACUGAUGAAAGGAGGGGAUCGCAAGACCUUGUGAUAACAGGACGGCCGAUGGCAGAUUAGGUAGUGGGUGGGAUAAAAGCUUACAACGCCGACGAUCCGUAGCUGGCCUGAGAGGACGAUCAGCCACACUGGGACUGAGACCCGGCCCAGACUCCUACGGGAGGCAGCAGUGGGGAAUUUUGGACAAUGGUCGCAAGCCGGAUCCAGCAAUGCCGCGUGCAGGAUGAAGGCCUUCGGGUUGUAAACUGCUUUUGUACGGAACGAAAAGCCCUGGGUGAAUACCCUGGGGUCAUGACGGUACCGUAAGAAUAAGCACCGGCUAACUACGUGCCAGCCGCCGCCGUAAUAC